rnacentral:rRNA from 1 species
GUGAGAAUCCCGUAUGUGACCGGUGACCAACCCCAUGUGAAACUCCUUCGACGAGUCGAGUUGUUUGGGAAUGCAGCUCAAAAUGGGUGGUAUAUUUCAUCUAAAGCUAAAUACCGGCCAGAGACCGAUAGCGCACAAGUAGAGUGAUCGAAAGAUGAAAAGCACUUUGGAAAGAGAGUCAAACAGUACGUGAAAUUGUUGAAAGGGAAGCGCUCGCAACCAGACCUGCCCGCGGCCGAUCAACCGUCCUUCGGGGCGGUGCACUCGACCGCGAUCAGGCCAGCAUCGGUUCGGGCGGCCGGAUAAAGGCCCUGGGAACGUAGCUCCUCUCGGGGAGUGUUAUAGCCCUCGGUGUAAUGCGGCCAGCCUGGACCGAGGACCGCGCUUCGGCUAGGAUGCUGGCGUAAUGGUUGUGAGCGGCCCGUCUUGAAACACGGACCAAGGAGUCUAACAUCUAUGCGAGUGUUUGGGUGUCAAACCCAUGCGCGUAAUGAAAGUGAACGGAGGUGGGAACCCGUUAGGGCGCACCAUCGACCGAUCCAGAUGUCUUCGGAUGGAUUUGAGUACGAGCAUAGCUGUUGGGACCCGAAAGAUGGUGAACUAUGCCUGAAUAGGGUGAAGCCAGAGGAAACUCUGGUGGAGGCUCGCAGCGGUUCUGACGUGCAAAUCGAUCGUCAAAUUUGGGUAUAGGGGCGAAAGACUAAUCGAACCAUU